AUUGAACGCUGGCGGCAGGCCUAACACAUGCAAGUCGAGCGAGCGGCGGACGGGUGAGUAAUGUAUGGGGCCUGCCCGAUAGAGGGGGAUAACUACUGGAAACGGUGGCUAAUACCGCAUACUAUCGGAUAACCCAUAUGGGAUUAGCUAGUAGGUGGGUAAAAGGCUCACCUCGGCGACGAUCGCUAGCUGGUCUGAGCGGAUGAUGUCCCACACUGGGACUGAGACACGGCCCAGACUCCAGCGGCGACAGCAGUGGGGAAUAUUGCACAAGGGGCGCAAGCCUGAUGCAGCAAUGCCGCGUGUAUGAAGAAGGCAUUACGGUUGUAAAGAACUGUCAGCGGAGAGGCGUUAUCCGCAGGAGAAGCACCGGCGAAAUCCGUGCCAGCAGCCGGGGUAAUCC
rnacentral:rRNA from 1 species